GGCACGUUGAAAAGUGCU
rnacentral:misc_RNA from 1 species